GUUGCGGUUAAAAAGCUCGUAGUUGGAUUUCUGUUGAGGAUGGCCGGUCCGUACUUUGUGCGUGUAUCUGGUUCAGCCUUGGCAUCCUCUUGGGGAACGUUUCUGUGUUUCAUUACAUGGGGCGGUAUUCAAGACUUUUACUUUGAGGAAAUUAGAGUGUUCACGGCAGGCAUUCGCCUUGAAUACAUUAGCAUGGAAUAAUAAUAUAGGACCUUGGUACUAUUUUGUUGGUUUCUAGAACUAAGGUAAUGAUUAAUAGGGAUAAUUGGGGGCAUUCGUAUUAACGCGUCAGAGGUGGAAUUCUUGGAUUGCGUUACGACGAACUACUGCGAAAGCAUUUGCCAAGGAUGUUUUCAUUGAUC
rnacentral:rRNA from 1 species